CCCGGCAAGAAGGAGCUGUCAUAGAAGAUGAGUUGAAAAGGCGACACAACCUUGAAGUCCGAAAGGCUCCCCUUUCCUUCCAGAAGUGUCCUCAGGCCCAGUAUCCGAUGACAAAAGCCGCCACAGAGAGACAGAUGAUCAGGUUUGCGUUCACCAGCUGCUGCAGACAAGGAUUUUCUUCCAGUUUGUUGCAUUCAGGUUCUGCAGGAAUCUCCGGCGUCUUCUGUCCUUCCUUUGUUCUGCUGUCCAUGCCACACAGCCAGUAGAGGGCGGACACCAGCCUGGACGCAGGUCUCCCACUGGGUGUUGUUGACUCUACAGGGAAAACAGAUGAAGACUCAGACCUGGACAACGGAUCCGUAGAAAGACAAGAAAAACCUUUUCUCUCGCUGCUCUCGUCCGGUCUUCCUGUUCCCUCGUCCGUCCGAGGCAUGACCAACUCCAAGUUGAGCUCUUUGCGCUCCACGUGGACAAAUCGUGUGAACCAAGACUAGUGACUCCAACACAAGCGGUCUUACCUGCUCUGCUGGGGGCUCCUCCGUGGCCAGACUGGCGCCCACCACCACCACCAGCGUGAUGAGGGACAGAACUAUGGAGAAGUACAGACAUGAGCGGAGAGCUUGCGUCGUACCGGCUGCCUUCGUCUCGUCGAGAAACGUGGCUUCCCUCGGAGACACUGGCGGUCACCACACCCGCGACCACACCCCUCCAACUUUCAGACCUUCACUCUCACUUUCCUCACCCACGAAUCUUUGAUCCUCGCUCAAAUUAAUGGGGAAAUCGUCGCUUUCUCGGUCCGAAUCGCUCUGGCUGCUGGUGGCCAUGAUUGUAAACAAUGUUCAGAUGUGAGGAGCUCCACAACCCGUGACGUCACGCGCACAUUGUCUGCUACUUCCGGUACAGAAGCAUCCCAUGAGGAAGACGAUGGAGACGGGGGGUUGCAGGUUGGUGCUGAUGGCCUGGAUGUAGAUGAAGAGCUGCCCGCCCUGACUGGCUUGCACCACAGGAAUCCACAGGAUGGACGCCACCACCAGCACCAGCACAAACACUCUAGCAGGUGUUCCAAAAAAAUCACUUCUGCUCAAUUUCCACAGGAGUUUUUGGUGUCCAAAAUGAAGGCUCACCUGCCCACGAUCAUCAGCUCCCACUCGGAGGCGCUGGAGCGGAAGGUCUUCCACAGGUCCAUGGUGAAGAUGGUGCUGGCGCUGUUAAAGAUGGAGGUGAGCGAGGAGACCAGAGCGGCGAUCAUCACCGCCAUCAUCAGACCUCGUAGACCUGAGGGACGUAGGAGCAGCUUUUAGAGCCCGAGAAGGCCCAACACAUACUUGCCAACUUUGAGACCUUCCAUUUCGGGAGGUGGGGGGCGUGGUCAGAGGGGAGGAGUAUAUUUACA